CCUACGGGUGGCAGCAGUGAGGAAUAUUGGUCAAUGGACGAGAGUCUGAACCAGCCAAGUAGCGUGAAGGAUGACUGCCCUAUGGGUUGUAAACUUCUUUUAUAUGGGAAUAAAAUGUUCCACGUGUGUGAUCUUGUAUGUACCCUAUGAAUAAGGACCGGCUAACUCCGUUCCAGCAGCCGCGGUAAUACGGUGGAUCCGUGCGUUACCCGGAUUUAUUGGGGUUAAAGGGAGCGUAGGUGGUUGGUUAAGUCCGUUGUGAAAGUUGGCGGCUCAACCGUAGAAUGGCAGUGGAAACGGGGAGGCUGGAGUGAAGAAGAGGAGUGCGGAAUGCGUGGUGUAGCGGUGAAAUGCGUAGAUAUCACGAAGAACUCCGAUUGCGAAGGCGGCAUACCGGAGCGCAACUGACGCUGAUGCACGAAAGCGUGGGUAUCGAACAGGAUUAGAUACCCGAGUAGUC
rnacentral:rRNA from 1 species